GUCUGGUGAAAAGGUGUACGAAACCAGACAGAAAAGAGUUCCAGAAGAUUGCAGUUGCCACAGCAAUUGGUUUCUGCAUAAUGGGAUUCAUUGGAUUCUUUGUGAAGCUUAUCCACAUACCCAUCAAUAACAUCAUUGUGGGUUCAUAGGUGGAUCGUCAAUCAUCUUUCUCAUCUGUCACACCUUUCGUUAUGCUUUUUUAAAAAAGAACACAUUUUAACUAUUAAUAAAUUAUUUUUGGUCUUCCA